CUUGCGCCUAUAAUCUCAACACUUUCGGAGGCUGAAGCAGGAGGAUUGCUUGAGCCCGGGAUUUUGAGACCAACCUGGGCAACACAGGGAGACCCCAUCUCUACAAAAAAAUUUAAAAACUAGCUGGGCGUGGUGGCACGCACCUGUAGUUCCUAUACGGGAGGCUGAGGUGCAAAGGAUUGCUUGAGCCCAGGAUUUCAAGGCUGCAAUGAGCAUGUUCGCGCUCCAACCUGGAUGACAGAGCAAGACCCUGUCCCCCCACUCCAAAAAAAAAAAAAAUUAUUUCCUGAGCAGCUUUUGAUGUUGAGGAAGAGACAGGCAGGAGCUGGGAGCAUCCAGAACCUGGAGGAGGAGGGGCUCAGAUGAAUUAGCAGCAGUUAGCCCUUGUUCCAGCGCAGUCGAUUCUUCACCAGUUGACUUUUCCAUUCUUCUUGGGAAGCGCGGCUUAAAAAGAAAGUGCUGGAGGUGAGAUGUGCGAAUUAGGUCUUUCCUUGCAAGUCAUAGAUGCUCGGCAAAGUAAGUGUGCCCGGAACUCUGUCCCUACCUCUGCAGGCUCCACACACGUUUGGAGACCCCACCCCCAGCUUGUGGAACCUAUUGCAGUAUAUCAUGUCCCAUGUUGAACACAAUCGUAUAUAAGGAUAAGGACACAAGAGUGGUGGCUGCCUAACUGAUAUGGUGGUAUGUUCUGUAGCAAUUGAAAAAGCAUUGAAAAAGCAAUUUUG
rnacentral:lncRNA from 1 species